rnacentral:tRNA from 1 species
CCGACCUUAGCUCAGUUGGUAGAGCGGAGGACUGUAGUUUGACAACUGAAAUCCUUAGGUCGCUGGUUCGAAUCCGGCAGGUCGGA